rnacentral:rRNA from 1 species
GGCUAAAUACUCCCUAGUGACCGAUAGUGAACCAGUACCGUGAGGGAAAGGUGAAAAGCACCCCGGAAGGGGAGUGAAAUAGAACCUGAAACCGUGUGCCUACAACAAGUCAAAGCCCGUUAAUGGGUGAUGGCGUGCCUUUUGUAGAAUGAACCGGCGAGUUACGAUUGCAUGCGAGGUUAAGUUGAAGAGACGGAGCCGCAGCGAAAGCGAGUCUGAAUAGGGCGUUUGAGUAUGUAGUCGUAGACCCGAAACCAUGUGAUCUACCCAUGUCCAGGUUGAAGGUGCGGUAAAACGCACUGGAGGACCGAACCCACGUACGUUGAAAAGUGCGGGGAUGAGGUGUGGGUAGCGGAGAAAUUCCAAACGAACUUGGAGAUAGCUGGUUCUCUCCGAAAUAGCUUUAGGGCUAGCCUCGGAAUUGAGAAUGAUGGAGGUAGAGCACUGUUUGGACUAGGGGCCCAUCUCGGGUUACCGAAUUCAGAUAAACUCCGAAUGCCAUUCAUUCAUAUCCGGGAGUCAGACUGUGAGUGAUAAGAUCCAUAGUCGAAAGGG